UCUGUUAUGGACUGAAUUGUGUCCCUUAAGAUUCAUAUGUUCAAGCCCUAACAGCCAAUGUAACUAUGUUUUUAGGUAUGCCCUAUAAGAAGAUAACUAAGGACAAAUGAGGUCAUAAGAACGGGGUCCUAAUCCAGUGUGACUUGUGUCCGUGGAAGAAGACAAGGCACCAGAAGGUGCUCACUUUCUCGCUGUAUUCACGAACAGAGGAAAGGCCAUUUAAUGACACACCAAGAAAGUGGUUGAUUAGAAGUCAGAAAGAAAGGCCUCACCAGAAACCAUUCCUGAUGGCACCUUGGUCUUAGACUCCCAGCCUCUAGAAAUAGGAGAAUAUACAUUUCUUUAAGCCACCCAGUCUGUGGUAUUUUGUUGUGGCAGCCUGAAAAGAGACAAAGAUGCAAAGAAGGUACCUCAUUGUAUUCUGUUUUUGCCGUACUGAUAACAGUAGACGCAAAUAACCUUGAGAAUGUAUAGAAUAGUAAAGCAUAGUGAAAUAAUUAGGAAGUUACAAAUUUUAAGAGUUACCUUUGCUUUUUAAACAGCUUUACUGAAGUACAAUCAGUUGUCAUUCACGCUAGUCAUGUUCUCUAAUUCACUGAAUCAGUGAAUAUAGAGCCGUUGUUCCUAGGGGAAAUCUGGAAUUAGGUUCCUGAGAGCCUCUGGUCACAAUGUUUUUGUCAACAGGUCAGUACAUAACAUGGUUUUCCAUGUGUUUCUGUUUAAAGACAACUCAUUUACUGUAUACUGUUGAUUCGUUAACACUGAAAUCAUGGCCAACAGCAUGAUGAUUCAUGCCUGAACAAUGCUUACCUAACAUGUAUUUUCUUUAAGCCCCAUUUUUUGGGCUUAGGAACUCUAGGCGGCACGUAAGCGCCAGGUUUGGAGGCCAUUUUGGACCACAAAACCACCAAGAAGUGUAAAAAUGUAAGUAUUGAUUUGGGGGGUUUCCAGUUUUGGCAGGUAGGCAAAUUUACAAAUACAGAAUCCAUGAAAAAUGAGGAUUGACUAAUUGUCUUGCCAUAAAUUGUGCAUACUUAAAGAUAUACUCAGGCUGAAACUUGUGCUUUUUCACCAUUUUAUGGACUCACCAAGACUUUGUGAGGACUUUGGUGGAGUCUAGGAUGUUUCAUUCAGCCAGGUGCAUAUGAUCAGGGGCAAAUUCAGUCAUCUGUGAGUCACCAGACCUGGGGUGGGUUAUCAGUGGGCCUGGGCUUUGAAUGAUGGUUGGAUGGACAGAGGAAGGGUGUGAUUUCUGAGGGCACAGCAAGUGCAGGAAAAGCAGAUAGGACCAUGGGUAGCUGAGAUCCACACAUGGUUCUCUGUGGCUGCGUCUGAGCCAAGGAGUUGAAUGAGACCUGCAUGGAGUGAUUUGGGGCUGUGGUUGCUAACAGGAACCAUGGGAAGUCUGUAGUCAUACUGGAUCCUCUCUGAAUUUGUCAAGGAUAUUCUGGAUGCUGUCUGCCAAGUUGUGUUGUAAGUUCUAAAAUUAAGGCCAAUAGAUAAGCUGCCUUGGCAUCUGGUGAAACAAGGAUGCCCUCAAAUGGCCGUGGUGCAAGUUUCCCUCCACAUGCUUCUCACAGCAGGAUGGCGUGACCUUUGAAGAUGUGGCUGUGACCUUUUCCGGGGAGGAAUGGGGUCUCCUUGAUGAGUCUCGGAGAUGCCUGUACCGUGAUGUGAAGCUGGAGAACUUGGCACUUAGAGCCUCCCUGGGAGUUGCUGGGCUGCCACCUGCUAAAGAAGAGGAUGUGUCACCCAUACCUGUCGUUGGAAUUUCUCCCCGGGCAGAGAUCCACUAUUCACUUGGAAUUGACUCUUGAUGAAUUUUAUUCCAUCUAGAUGGUCAGUUGAUGAAGCACCAUUUACUGAGAAUCUGCUUCACUGCUCACCAGUACUCAUAUCGUAAUAAAGCAAGUGCUCAUAUAUGGGAACAAGACAAGGAUGCCCACUCUCACCACUAUUAUUCAACGUAGUUUUGGAAGUUUUAGCCACAGCAAUCAGAGAAGAAAAAGAAAUAAAAGGAAUCCAAAUUGGAAAAGAAGUAAAACUGUCACUGUUUGCAGAUGACGUGAUACUAUACAUAGAGAAUCCUAAAGAUGCUACCAGAAAACUACUAGAGCUAAUCGAUGAAUUUGGUAAAGUAGCAGGAUACAAAAUUAAUGCACAGAAAUCUCUGGCAUUCCUAUACACUAAUGAUGAAAAAUCUGAAAGAGAAAUUAAGGAAACACUCCCAUUUACCACUGCAACAAAAACAAUAAAAUACUUAGGAAUAAACCUACUUAAGGAGACAGAGACCUGUAUGCAGAAAACUAUAAGACACUGAUGAAAGAAAUUAAAAAUGAUACAAACAGAUGGAGACAGAUACCAUGUUCUUGGAUUGGAAGAAUCAACAUUGUGAAAAUGACUGUACUACCCAAAGCAAUCUACAGAUUCAGUGCAAUCCCUAUCAAACUACCAAUGGCAUUUUUCACAGAACUAGAACAAAAAAUUUCACAAUUUGUAUGGAAACACAAAAGGUCCCAAAUAGCCAAAGCAAUCUUGAGAAAGAAAAACGGAGCUGGAGGAAUCAGGCUCCCAGACUUCAGACUAUACUACAAAGCUACAGUAAUCAAGACAGUAUGGUACUGGCACAAAACCAGAAAUAUAGAUCAAUGGAACAGGAUAGAAAGUCCAGAGAUAAACCCACACAUAUAUGGUCACCUUAUCUUUGAUAAAGGAGGCAAGAAAAUACAAUAGAGAAAAGACAGCCCCUUCAAUACGUGGUGCUGGGAAAACUGGACAGCUGCAUGUAAAAGAAUGAAAUUAGAACACUUCCUAACACCAUACACAAAAAUAAACUCAAAAUGGAUUAAAGACCUAAAUGUAAGGCCAGACACUCUAAAACUCUUGGAGGAAAAAACAUAGGAAGAACACUCUUUGACAUAACUCACAGCAAGAUCCUUUUUGACCCAUCUCCUAGAGUAAAGGAAAUAAAAACAAAAAUAAAAAAAUGGGAGCUAAUGAAACUUAAAAGCUUUUGUACAGCAAAGGAAACUAUAAACAAGAUAAAAAGACACCCCUCAGAAUGGGAGAAAAUAUUUGUAAACGAAGCAACUGACAAAGGAUUAAUCUCCAAAAUAUACAAGCAGUUCAUGCAGCUCAAUAUCAAAAAAAACAAACAACCCAAUCCAAAAGUGGGCACAAGAUCUAAAUAGACAUUUCUCCAAAGAAGAUACACAGAUUGCCAACAAACAAAUGAAAGGAUGCUCGACAUCACUAAUUAUAAGAGAAAUGCAAAUCAAAACUACAAUGAGGUAUCACUGCACACAGGUCAGAAUGGCCAUCAUCAAAAAAUCUACAAACAAUAAAUGCUGGAGAGGGUGUGGAGAAAAGGGAACCCUCUUGCAGUGUUGGUGGGGAUGUAAACUGAUACAGCCACUAUGGAGAACAGUAUGGAGGUUCCUUAAAAAACUAAAAAUAGAACUACCAUACAACCCAGCAAUCCCACUACUGGGGAUAUACCCUGAGAAAACCAUAAUUCAAAAAGAGUCAUGUACCACAAUGUUCAUUGCAGCUCUAUUUACAACAGCCAGGACGUGGAAGCAACCUAGGUGUCCACUGACAGAUGAAUGGAUAAAGAAGAUGUGGCAUAUAUAUACAAUGGAAUAUUACUCAGCCAUAAAAAGAAACGAAAUUGAGUUAUUUGUAGUGAGGUGGAUGGACCUAGAGUCUGUCAUACAGAGUGAAGUAAAUCAGAAAGAAGAAAACAAAUACCGUAUGCUAACACAUAUAUAUGGAAUCUAAAAAAAACCCAAAUGGUUUUGAUGAACCUAGGGGAAGGACAGGAAUAAAGAUGCAGAUGUAGAGAAUGGACUUAAGGACACGGGGAGUGGGAAGGGUAAGCUGGGACGAAGUGAGAGAAUGGCAUGGACAUAUAUACACUACCAAAUGUAAAACAGAUAGCUAGUGGGAAGCAGCCGCAUAGCACAGGGAGAUCUGCUCGGUGCUUUCUGACCACCUAGA